AUGAGAGUUUGAUCCUGGCUCAGGACGAACGCUGGCGGCGUGCCUAAUACAUGCAAGUCGAGCGAGCAGAACCAGCAGAUUUACUUCGGUAAUGACGCUGGGGACGCGAGCGGCGGAUGGGUGAGUAACACGUGGGGAACCUGCCCCAUAGUCUAGGAUACCACUUGGAAACAGGUGCUAAUACCGGAUAAUAAAGCAGAUCGCAUGAUCAGCUUAUAAAAGGCGGCGUAAGCUGUCGCUAUGGGAUGGCCCCGCGGUGCAUUAGCUAGUUGGUAAGGUAACGGCUUACCAAGGCAAUGAUGCAUAGCCGAGUUGAGAGACUGAACGGCCACAUUGGGACUGAGACACGGCCCAAACUCCUACGGGAGGCAGCAGUAGGGAAUCUUCCACAAUGGACGCAAGUCUGAUGGAGCAACGCCGCGUGAGUGAAGAAGGUUUUCGGAUCGUAAAGCUCUGUUGUUGGUGAAGAAGGAUAGAGGUAGUAACUGGCCUUUAUUUGACGGUAAUCAACCAGAAAGUCACGGCUAACUACGUGCCAGCAGCCGCGGUAAUACGUAGGUGGCAAGCGUUGUCCGGAUUUAUUGGGCGUAAAGCGAGCGCAGGCGGAAGAAUAAGUCUGAUGUGAAAGCCCUCGGCUUAACCGAGGAAUUGCAUCGGAAACUGUUUUUCUUGAGUGCAGAAGAGGAGAGUGGAACUCCAUGUGUAGCGGUGGAAUGCGUAGAUAUAUGGAAGAACACCAGUGGCGAAGGCGGCUCUCUGGUCUGCAACUGACGCUGAGGCUCGAAAGCAUGGGUAGCGAACAGGAUUAGAUACCCUGGUAGUCCAUGCCGUAAACGAUGAGUGCUAAGUGUUGGGAGGUUUCCGCCUCUCAGUGCUGCAGCUAACGCAUUAAGCACUCCGCCUGGGGAGUACGACCGCAAGGUUGAAACUCAAAGGAAUUGACGGGGGCCCGCACAAGCGGUGGAGCAUGUGGUUUAAUUCGAAGCAACGCGAAGAACCUUACCAGGUCUUGACAUCUAGUGCCAUCCUAAGAGAUUAGGAGUUCCCUUCGGGGACGCUAAGACAGGUGGUGCAUGGCUGUCGUCAGCUCGUGUCGUGAGAUGUUGGGUUAAGUCCCGCAACGAGCGCAACCCUUAUUAUUAGUUGCCAGCAUUAAGUUGGGCACUCUAAUGAGACUGCCGGUGACAAACCGGAGGAAGGUGGGGAUGACGUCAAGUCAUCAUGCCCCUUAUGACCUGGGCUACACACGUGCUACAAUGGGCAGUACAACGAGAAGCGAGCCUGCGAAGGCAAGCGAAUCUCUGAAAGCUGUUCUCAGUUCGGACUGCAGUCUGCAACUCGACUGCACGAAGCUGGAAUCGCUAGUAAUCGCGGAUCAGAACGCCGCGGUGAAUACGUUCCCGGGCCUUGUACACACCGCCCGUCACACCAUGGAAGUCUGCAAUGCCCAAAGCCGGUGGCCUAACCUUCGGGAAGGAGCCGUCUAAGGCAGGGCAGAUGACUGGGGUGAAGUCGUAACAAGGUAGCCGUAGGAGAACCUGCGGCUGGAUCACCUCCUUU
rnacentral:rRNA from 1 species